rnacentral:RNase_P_RNA from 10 species
GGCGGAGGGAAGCUCAUCAGUGGGGCCACGCGCGGAGUGCGUCUCGUCACUCUAUCCAAUGUCCCUUGGGAAGGUCUGAGACUAGGGCCAUUAGCGGCCCUAACAGGGCCCUCCCCGACCUCGGGGAGGUGAGUUCCCAGAGAAUGGGUCUCCGGCGAGGGCAGACUGGGCAGGAGAUGCUACGGGUCCCCUCUCCCUCGCGGAAGGGGUCCUAGCGGAUGCCUCCUUAGCCGGAGCUUGGAACAGACUCACGGCCAGCGAAGUGAGUUCAAUGGCUGAGGUGAGGCACCCCGGAGGGGGCCUCAUAACCCAAUUCAGACUACUCUCCCGCCGUC